CGGGCGGGUCCCGGAGCGCCGCGGGGCGCUGAGAGCGGGGCCGGGGGGGAGCGCCGAGCUCCUGCGGAGGGAGCCGGGACGGGCGGCGGCGGGGCGAGGGCUGCCGGAGCCGCGAGGUUCGCCCCCAGCGGCCGGGGAGGGCUGCCCCGAUCCAGCGCCCGGCGGGGUGCGGCUGUGCCCGAGUCCCAGUCGUGAAGCAAUCUGUGCUGCGCUAGGGACGAGGGGGAUGAUUUGUUCAGAGCAGCCAGGUCCUUGUGAUUAGAAAUGAGCUCGGUUUGGCAGGAAGCACUGAGGAAGGCUGGCAGAGAGGCAGCGUGGUCCUUGCAUGCAAGAUUUCUCCAGAAGUAAAGAAGCACUGGUGGAGACAGUGCAACCCCUGGCAAGAAGCAGCAACGCUGUGCAACAAAGGAAGGAGCCGCUUCCAGGUUAUGAAAACAUGCUGUUGAACUGAAUUUUGCAGCUGGCUUUUCAAAU